GGCCUCCUUGUGCUUACCACAGGCUGUGUUCCUACACUGUGUGGAAAGAGGAGAAAGAAUAAACCUACCCUGUGUACACCUCAGCCUUGGCCACUGUACCUGGUCUGUAUUGUGAAUGGGUAGACAUGG
ensembl:snoRNA LOC120100392 small nucleolar RNA SNORA51